CCUACGGGAGGCAGCAGUGGGGAAUAUUGGACAAUGGGGGCAACCCUGAUCCAGCCAUGCCGCGUGUGUGAAGAAGGCCCUCGGGUUGUAAAGCACUUUCAGUGAGGAAGAACGCCUGGUGGUUAAUACCCAUCAGGAAAGACAUCACUCACAGAAGAAGCACCGGCUAACUCCGUGCCAGCAGCCGCGGUAAUACGGAGGGUGCGAGCGUUAAUCGGAAUUACUGGGCGUAAAGCGCGCGUAGGUGGCUUGAUAAGCCGGUUGUGAAAACCCCGGGCUCAACCUGGGAACGGCAUCCGGAACUGUCAAGCUAGAGUGCAGGAGAGGAAGGUAGAAUUCCCGGUGUAGCGGUGAAAUGCGUAGAGAUCGGGAGGAAUACCAGUGGCGAAGGCGGCCUUCUGGACUGACACUGACACUGAGGUGCGAAAGCGUGGGUAGCAAACAGGAUUAGAUACCCUUGUAGUC
rnacentral:rRNA from 1 species